CUGCUAGCAAGUGGUUUCGCUAUUAGGAACACAGAGCUCUCACUCAGAAGAGGUCAGAUCCCAGUGUGAAAAUCCUUGAUAGCAUGCCGUGAUCAAAGGCUUCAACAUUUCUUCUUUUCUGGUCAGAAAAGAAUGUCAGAUUCUGACAGUUCCUGUGGGGCUGGAUGGACCUCUCCCACUUGGCCCUUCUGUGUGCACAACUUAUCCUGAGGAACAUUCAGCAAUUUUCAAAACUUUGAGCUUCAUCACCAAGAUGGGUUUUGGGGAAGGCCACAGCUUUGCCUGUAUCAACAAGCAAUAUGAUGCAGUUGGAGCAGAUCUCUGGAGUGAGUUGGUGCUGAGGACCCAGCCUCAACACACAGCUGCUCGAGGCUCCCUUCAGUCUGGCCCCAGGCUGGCUGGGUGCCCAUGAGGAGGUGGCAUGCACCAGGAGUGCUGCUGGGCAGCACCUCUCCUCAUGGGCUUGCCUAGCAGAAGCCCAGCUGGAGCUCCUUGAGACCAGUCUGCAGCACAAACUUCAAUGGGUUGUACCUGGGGAAGGCAUGAUCAUUUCAUGAUUUUACGUAAAUUGCAACAAUUAGACAGCCCUCUCUAAGGUUAAGGACUAGCUAAACUCUUGUUCUGACUUCUCUCCCAUGUGCUUGUUGCCUCCUUGUCCGAGAAUGGAUUCUCAACACUGAGAAGAGUUCAAGACAUUCAUCUUAAAUGACUGAAGUCUUUUCCUGGAGCCACGAAGACGUAACUUAAGCGGGAGAUUUAUUGAAUAGAAAACAAAUAUUCCAUAUUCUGAUCCUGCAAAUGACCAUGAGUCAAUAAAUCUGAGAAAGCUGCUCACGCACUUAACCAUUUGCAGAACUGGGUCCCCGAAAAGGAUCUUCAUAGUAAUGAUCAACAAAUAAUGGAUAGAGGUCCAGUGCAGAAAUUUGGAUGCUUAUUAUACUUAUGUAAACCUUUUGGAUUGACAUCACUUGGCUGCAAAUACACGGUCUAAGACAGCGGAAAGUGUUGUAGCACUUCUACUAUUAGUCAGACCCCUGAAGAGCAGAGAGCAUCAUGGAGAAGAAAAAACACUGAAAAAGAAAUAAACCAAACUUUGCUGAAAUGGCAAUAAAAGCUUGUUGCAGAUGGAAAGAAUAUGAUAUAUUACCAGAAAUUAUUAGCCUUUCCAGGUCCAUCCCAGUCAACGCUUUGGCAUGUUCAUAACUUGAAUGCUCUCAUCUUCUGAAUUUGAACAUGUCACCGCUCUGGAUCCCGAGCACAGUCAUGCUGCUGCCAGUGUUGUACCAGCGGGUGGCAUCUGUCCUACCAUGCUUCCAGGAUACUGUGGCAUCUGACCUGCAGCUGGUGCACAUUUCGCAGUCAGAACCAUGACCGUAGGUACAAAGCAUAUAAGGAAUCACAGAUCUAAACAGGCAGUUCAGCUUAAUGAAGGAAUACAGUAUUUUUCUUUGACUCUCACUGACUUCAUAAAGCCAGCAUUUCACUAUAAGCCUGUAUUUCCUUAUCACUUUCCCAAUGCAACUGUGGAUACAGUUCCAUCAUGACAAAGAACUCUGUAGCGCAUCUGGAGACGGACCCCUCACAAGGGAGCAUACAUGCCCCUCAGAGAAGCACAGUCGAGGAAUCCUAGGAGAGUGAUGCAAUUCCCUUAAGUGCCAGAAAUUUCAUAGACCUUGUUGUGUGCACUGGCCACAUGGAUGUAGGAAAACUGAAAAGUUAAAGAUUCAGGCUGCAAGCACUAUGGACUUUGGUCCGGUGCUCACAGGGAGAAGGUGCCUGCCCAGCAGCCUCCUGGAUCAGAUAAAUUGCUGUUUCCCUUACUUUCACCCAUUGAAGUUUGGUGGUUAGUAGUUUAAAAAGUUUAUUGUUCUUUUGUGGUUUGACAUAUUUUACUUAUCUUUAAAACUGGUUUCUACAUCGUCCUGUUGCCCCCCCUCCUCACCUUGUGAGAGGAAACAAAACACAAGUACUGAAGCUGAAGGCUAUUUUAGUGUGAUGCGAAUUAUGCUCUCAGGUCUACCAGGAUAAAAUUAGUGACUAAUUUAAGUGUGAGCAGAGUCAGGACCAUUCUCUCUGCCAUUUCUACCCAAACACAGUAGAGAAGGCCAGAGGCACCACUGCCUGAGCAGGAGCACAGCCAGCAGAAUGAGGGAAGUAACCACUCCCACUCAGCACUCAAUAGCCCACAUCCAGUAUACUGUGUCCAGUUUUGGAUACUCCAGUAAAAUAAAGAGAUUAGUAAUCUGAGGAAAUUUCAGUGGAGGGUUACGGCCAGGGCUGAAAUACCUGCCUCGUGAGGUUGAGGGGCUGGGCUUUCUCAGCCCACAGAACAAUUAUGGGGAGAAAGUAGAUGGAGCCAAGUGCAUGAUGGGAGAAUAAGAGACAGUCGGCAUAAAUUGAAAUAAAAGUGAUUCAGGUUGGAUUUCAGGAGAAGCCUUUUCACCCUUCAGAGAGUCAGGCAGGGAAAGAACUUGCCCAGAGAGGCUGUGCAGUUUCUGUCCGUGGGAGUUUUCAAGAUCUGACUGGGCAGCCUGCUCUGACCUCAGCACUGCUCCUGCCUUGAGCACACAGCUGGGUUAGAGACCUCCUGAGGUCUCUACCAGUCUGAAUUUUCCUGUGAUCCUAUGACAAGGGAAGCCUGGUAUUUCAAGUUAUUCCCCAAGGCAGACCUGACCUCUGAACCUCCCGUGGGCUGCUCAUCACCCAUUAUUUCCAAAGUAAGAGGAGAACAUAGUUCAUCAUUCUAUCAAUAGACUGACAGAUAGACAGGCUGACAGACAGACAUACUGCUAAGACGUAGAGACAGUUGAAGGAGCCCUUCUUUUCAUGUCUGUGCAGUACUUGUACAUUAAAGCAAUGUCUAUUUCAGGUAUAAAAGCAAAACUUUUAUCACUAUUGACUAUUCUGGGGGGUCAUUCUGAAUUGAGUUGGAUAAUUACUAAGUAAUAACAUCAACUGUUCUGCAACCACCAUCAGUGAGAAUGACUUAAAAGAAAUAUUAUAUUCCAGCAUGCUUCAUUGGGAUGUUUUUGGAAAUAGUUAGCUACUAAGACAUUAGAGAUUCAAACAUUAUAGAUGUUAAAAGGUAUAUUAGGUUGCCCACUACUUGGUAAUUAAAUACAAAAUUAAAAACUUUUGGCCCAGAUACAUUGAUGCAUAAUAAUCUCUUUGAUUGAUUUCCUAACUCUAUUAUAGUGUUCCUUUUUAUUACUCUUAGUUUUAUUGAAUUGUAUUUCCUGGUGCUGAAGCAAAAGAGAAAAAUAAUAGCUGCUAGUUGUUAAGAUCCAGUUUAAUUUUGUUCUGCCUAUUGUAAACACAACUGGAAGUGUCUCCUUUAGAAUUGCUCAUGGUCUUUUUUUUUAGAGAUAGGAGUGUGUACAAAGAGAGAAGUAUGGCACAAGUCUGAGAGUCAGGAACAGAGUCAUCUACAUAAUGUAACGAUUUAUAGAAGUGAAGAGGAGGCAGUCUGAGAGGAAGCCAGUACGAGACUGGCCUUAGUUGACUUAUUCAGAAAUUUUAAGAGAGCCAGCUGCAGCUCUCCUUGGGACAAUUUUUCAUUAUGUUAUUUUUUUUUUUCCAGUUUAUACAGGAUACCAAAGCAGUUCUUCUGUUGGUUGCAUAGAUAUUUCCAGGAUCCUUGAAUUUAUGAAACACAAAGCUUGGACAUUCUUGCAAGAAAACGAUAUCUGAUAACAUUGCCAAAGCUGUGUCCUGUACUGUCAGGCAACAUACAAAGGACUAGUAAAAGAAAUAUGAUCAUAUUUGUACUGACAAGUCAACAGAAGAGGUGAAAUGUCCCCAUCGCUGUUUUUUGUGUUUCUGCCUUUUGCGGUCUUAUAGAUAUCCUAGGUAUGAAACAAGUUGUCUUCUGUUCUGACCUCUGAAAACACCAGGAACUGUUCUGAAGUGAUUUAUACAGGUUUUGAUGAACUACUGUGAUGUACUCAGCCCUAUACUAGUUCACCUCUAGAAAAGGACCCUGGCUCUGCAGCUGGUAACUUGCUCUAUCACCCACUAGAAAUGACACCUUGCUCUGCAGAGUACUUUUUGUGGGCUUAGUCAAAACUGGUAGUUGGUGCACUACUGACAGCUUGACAUUGUUGUGAACAGAAAGUGGGGUGAUUUUGUUUUAUAUAUUUUGUUUAUUUCCCCCCCCCCCCAAAUCUUGCAGUAUUAAUAAGAAA
rnacentral:lncRNA from 1 species